rnacentral:rRNA from 1 species
GACGGAGGAUGCAAGUGUUAUCCGGAAUCACUGGGCGUAAAGCGUCUGUAGGUGGUCAAAUAAGUCAACUGUUAAAUCUUGAGGCUCAACCUCAAAAUCGCAGUCGAAACUAUUAGACUAGAGUAUAGUAGGGGUAAAGGGAAUUUCCAGUGGAGCGGUGAAAUGCGUAGAGAUUGGAAAGAACACCGAUGGCGAAGGCACCUUACUGGGCUAUUACUAACACUCAGAGACGAAAGCUAGGGUAGCAAAUGGG